rnacentral:rRNA from 1 species
CAACUCCUGACAUCCCCCUGACCGGUACAGAGAUGUACCUUCCCCUUCGGGGGCAGGGGUGACAGGUGGUGCAUGGUUGUCGUCAGCUCGUGUCGUGAGAUGUUGGGUUAAGUCCCGCAACGAGCGCAACCCUUGUCCUUAGUUGCCAGCAUUUGGUUGGGCACUCUAGGGAGACUGCCGGUGACAAACCGGAGGAAGGUGGGGAUGACGUCAAAUCAUCAUGCCCCUUAUGAGUUGGGCUACACACGUGCUACAAUGGACGGUACAAAGGGCAGCGAAGCCGCGAGGUGGAGCCAAUCCCAUAAAGCCGUUCCCAGUUCGGAUUGCAGGCUGCAACUCGCCUGCAUGAAGUCGGAAUCGCUAGUAAUCGCAGGUCAGCAUACUGCGGUGAAUACGUUCCC